rnacentral:rRNA from 1 species
AACGAACGCUGGCGGCAGGCCUAACACAUGCAAGUCGAACGCUCGUAGCAAUACGGGAGUGGCAGACGGGUGAGUAACGCGUGGGAACGUACCUUUCGGUUCGGAAUAACCCGGGGAAAC